rnacentral:rRNA from 1 species
UAGCGGCGAACGGGUGAGUAACACGUGGGCAACCUGCCCUCAGCUCUGGGAUAACUCCAAGAAAUUGGUGCUAAUACCGGAUGUGACCGCUGACCGCAUGGUCUGGUGGUGGAAAGAUUCAUCGGCUGAGGAUGGGCCCGCGGCCUAUCAGCUUGUUGGUGGGGUAAUGGCCCACCAAGGCGACGACGGGUAGCCGGCCUGAGAGGGUGACCGGCCACACUGGGACUGAGACACGGCCCAGACUCCUACGGGAGGCAGCAGUGGGGAAUAUUGCGCAAUGGGCGAAAGCCUGACGCAGCGACGCCGCGUGAGGGAUGACGGCCUUCGGGUUGUAAACCUCUUUCAGUAGGGACGAAGCGAAAGUGACGGUACCUACAGAAGAAGCACCGGCCAACUACGUGCCAGCAGCCGCGGUAAUACGUAGGGUGCAAGCGUUGUCCGGAAUUAUUGGGCGUAAAGAGCUCGUAGGCGGUCUGUCACGUCGGCUGUGAAAACCCGAGGCUCAACCUCGGGCCUGCAGUCGAUACGGGCAAACUAGAGUACUGCAGGGGAGACUGGAAUUCCUGGUGUAGCGGUGAAAUGCGCAGAUAUCAGGAGGAACACCGGUGGCGAAGGCGGGUCUCUGGGCAGUAACUGACGCU